rnacentral:rRNA from 2 species
AGAGUUUGAUCAUGGCUCAGAUUGAACGCUGGCGGCAGGCCUAACACAUGCAAGUCGAACGGUAACAGGAAGCAGCUUGCUGCUUUGCUGACGAGUGGCGGACGGGUGAGUAAUGUCUGGGAAACUGCCUGAUGGAGGGGGAUAACUACUGGAAACGGUGGCUAAUACCGCAUAACGUCGCAAGACCAAAGAGGGGGACCUUCGGGCCUCUUGCCAUCAGAUGUGCCCAGAUGGGAUUAGCUUGUUGGUGAGGUAACGGCUCACCAAGGCGACGAUCCCUAGCUGGUCUGAGAGGAUGACCAGCCACACUGGAACUGAGACACGGUCCAGACUCCUACGGGAGGCAGCAGUGGGGAAUAUUGCACAAUGGGCGCAAGCCUGAUGCAGCCAUGCCGCGUGUAUGAAGAAGGCCUUCGGGUUGUAAAGUACUUUCAGCGGGGAGGAAGGUGUUGUGGUUAAUAACCACAGCAAUUGACGUUACCCGCAGAAGAAGCACCGGCUAACUCCGUGCCAGCAGCCGCGGUAAUACGGAGGGUGCAAGCGUUAAUCGGAAUUACUGGGCGUAAAGCGCACGCAGGCGGUCUGUCAAGUCGGAUGUGAAAUCCCCGGGCUCAACCUGGGAACUGCAUUCGAAACUGGCAGGCUUGAGUCUUGUAGAGGGGGGUAGAAUUCCAGGUGUAGCGGUGAAAUGCGUAGAGAUCUGGAGGAAUACCGGUGGCGAAGGCGGCCCCCUGGACAAAGACUGACGCUCAGGUGCGAAAGCGUGGGGAGCAAACAGGAUUAGAUACCCUGGUAGUCCACGCCGUAAACGAUGUCUACUUGGAGGUUGUGCCCUUGAGGCGUGGCUUCCGGAGCUAACGCGUUAAGUAGACCGCCUGGGGAGUACGGCCGCAAGGUUAAAACUCAAAUGAAUUGACGGGGGCCCGCACAAGCGGUGGAGCAUGUGGUUUAAUUCGAUGCAACGCGAAGAACCUUACCUGGUCUUGACAUCCACAGAACUUUCCAGAGAUGGAUUGGUGCCUUCGGGAACUGUGAGACAGGUGCUGCAUGGCUGUCGUCAGCUCGUGUUGUGAAAUGUUGGGUUAAGUCCCGCAACGAGCGCAACCCUUAUCCUUUGUUGCCAGCGGUCCGGCCGGGAACUCAAAGGAGACUGCCAGUGAUAAACUGGAGGAAGGUGGGGAUGACGUCAAGUCAUCAUGGCCCUUACGACCAGGGCUACACACGUGCUACAAUGGCGCAUACAAAGAGAAGCGACCUCGCGAGAGCAAGCGGACCUCAUAAAGUGCGUCGUAGUCCGGAUUGGAGUCUGCAACUCGACUCCAUGAAGUCGGAAUCGCUAGUAAUCGUGGAUCAGAAUGCCACGGUGAAUACGUUCCCGGGCCUUGUACACACCGCCCGUCACACCAUGGGAGUGGGUUGCAAAAGAAGUAGGUAGCUUAACCUUCGGGAGGGCGCUUACCACUUUGUGAUUCAUGACUGGGGUGAAGUCGUAACAAGGUAACCGUAGGGGAACCUGCGGUUGGAUCACCU